AUGGAGUGGGACAGCGACUCGGACGGCAGCGGGGAGGAGGACGAGGAGGAGGAGGAGGAGGGGGUCGGGCCGUGGGGCGCGGAUGGGUGCCGGGGCGGCGGCGGGUUCUCGCUGGCGAUCGAGGGCGUGCUCGGCGGCGCCUGCGGGCUCGUCGUGUCCGACGCGCUCGAGCCCGACUUCCCCAUCAUCUACGUCAACCGCGGCUUCGAGGACGCCACCGGGUACCACGCCGAGGAGGUGCUCGGCAGGAACUGCCGGUUUUUGCAAUGCAGAGGACCAUUUGCUCAGAGGAGACAUCCUCUUGUUGAUGCUAUAGUAGUUACUGAGAUUCAGAGAUGCCUAGAGGAAGGAACUGGGUUCCAGGGUGAUCUGCUGAAUUUUAGGAAAGAUGGUUCCCCAUUUAUGACGAGUCUGCAACUAAAGCCCAUAUAUGGAGAUGAUGAAACAAUAACCCAUUAUAUGGGCAUUCAGUUCUUCAACGAUUGUAAUGUUGAUUUGGGACCUUUGCCUGGCUCUAUGGCAAAGGAAGUUGUGAGAUCAAUAUGGAUUACACCAGAUAAUACCCUCCGGCCAAGUCCAACAGGGAAGGGUAACUUUUGCUCUGAGUAUUCUCAUCUCUUCCAACUGAGUGAUGAGGUACUGUGCCAGAAGAUCCUAUCAAGAUUGUCACCUAGGGAUAUAGCGUCUGUGAACUCUGUAUGUAAACGUUUGUAUCACAUGACAAAGAAUGAUCACCUUUGGAGAAUGGUUUGUCAGAAUGCAUGGGGCAACGACGCAACUCGGGCUCUUGAGAAUGUGGCUGGCACAAAAAGUUUGGCAUGGGGACGGCUAGCAAGGGAGUUGACUACACUGGAAGCCGUCACCUGGAAGAAAUUGACGAUCGGGGGUUCAGUGGAGCCAUCUCGCUGUAACUUCAGUGCUUGUGCUGUAGGAAACCGUGUUGUCCUGUUCGGUGGGGAAGGUGUUAACGCACAGCCGAUGAAUGAUACAUUUGUGCUGGAUUUGAGUGCGAGCAAGCCAGAGUGGAGGCACGUCAAUGUGGGGUUGGCUCCUCCUGGCCGCUGGGGCCAUACCCUGUCAUGCCUAAAUGGAUCGCUGUUGGUUCUGUUUGGUGGAUGUGGAGGCCAGGGCCUGCUCAAUGACGUGUUUAUUCUGGAUUUGGAUGCAAAACAUCCUACAUGGCGUGAGAUUUUUGGCCUUACACCACCGGUUCCACGGUCAUGGCAUAGCUCUUGCACACUGGAUGGAUCAAAGCUGGUGGUUUCUGGUGGCUGUGCCGACUCUGGUGUGCUCCUAAGUGAUACCCAUCUUCUGGAUGUAACAAUGGAAAGGCCUGUUUGGAGGGAGAUACCUGCACCUUGGACUCCGCCUUCUAGGUUGGGGCACUCGCUCUCUGUCUACGAUGGCCGGAAAAUCCUGAUGUUUGGUGGCCUUGCCAAAAGCGGCCCUUUGCGACUCAGGUCUGGCGAUGUAUUCACAAUGGACUUGAGUGAUGCUGUGCCGUCCUGGCGGUGCAUCACCGGUAGUGGAAUGCCAGGAGCAUGUAACCCCGCUGGGGUUGGUCCGCCUCCUCGCCUUGAUCAUGUUGCCGUGAGCCUACCGGGAGGUAGAAUUAUGAUAUUUGGUGGCUCAGUAGCAGGUCUUCACUCCGCUUCACAGCUCUACCUCCUGGAUCCGACCGAAGAGAAACCCACCUGGAGAAUACUGAACGUCCCAGGGCGCCCUCCGAGGUUUGCCUGGGGACACAGCACGUGUGUCAUGGAAGGAUCAAAGGCAAUAGUUCUUGGAGGACAAACUGGAGAGGAGUGGACGCUGACUGAAAUACACGAGCUCUCUCUGGCGAGCUCGUUAGUUUGA
rnacentral:rRNA from 1 species